ensembl:lncRNA novel transcript, antisense to CBLN1
GCGGCAGCAGGGUUGGGCUCUCGCCGUGAGUCGACGAAGGGAGCGCGGGCGCGCGCCCGCGUCCGCGCACUGAGAGUCGCCUCGGCCGCUCGCUUUCUCGACUCCCGCCUCGCGCCUCGAUCCUGUUCCGCCUCCCUCGGCCCUCCUGCCCGCCCCCACUCGUCGGCCCUCAGGUACCUAAAAUGUCUCAUUAUUCAUCAAUUAAUGAAAAACAAAUGAAAAUUUGAGAGAGAUAUUCUGAAGAAUAAAAGGAUCAAGUUGGGUCAUUUCUAAAAUCUCAGAGACCUAAUAGGAUGGGGUCUUAGAGAAACAUCUUUUGAGCCACAGACUUCUUUGUUACCAGAAGGAAAAUGAAAGAAGAAAUUUAAAUACCACUUGAAGAGAGGUAAAUAAAUGAGAAAUGGGGCUGAGAGGGCGGGUAUUUUUUUAAAAAUUCAUUAAAUGGAAAAAUCCACAAAUGUUAAUUCUGGUAGAUUUCUUAGAAAUUACAUCAGAGGAGCAUGCUUGGUCUUCCCACCCUCAUUAGGCCUCAGUGACAGGUACUUGAACAACUGAGCCCCUAAUGUGCAUGCUCCCCCACCCCUGAAGCCAGUCUCUGCCCUCCUCUUCCCUCCUCUUGCCCCUGGAAGCUGAUCGCCACCAACUGGCCUCUGGGUGGAUUUGGCCAAUGGAAGCACCUGUAGAGGGAAGAGAGUGAGGUUAGGAUAUUUCUUCCUGCUGUCUCCGUGCUUCCCUGCAGAGAGUGUGAAGAAAUGACCCUGAAAAGCCUCUGGCAGAGGAUUCUUCUUUCAGGAUGGUGUCGCCUCCUCAGCAGCCCAUCCUCCUCCCCUGGACUCAAGCUCUCAUUCCAGUAACACUCCUUCCUCCUUCUCCAUCUUCAGGGGGAGGUUUGCCAGUCGGUGGGUUCUAAGCAUAUCUCGCUGAUUCCCCCCAACCCUGCCGACACCUCUGUAGGUCGUCCCUUCAUUAAAAUCUCUCCAUUUGAACUAUCUGAGUUUAAUUCCAUUUCCUCCUGGUAUCUCAGUGAUACACGGUAUCAGUACAAAAAUCUCGCUUCACCUUCAGAACCAACAGAUUUGAGACAUUUUAUCCUCUGUGGAACCAUUAGUUAUUUUGUCAUUGGUUGUAUCAGAAAAAAAAAUCAGGAAUGCAAAUCCUUCUUUAUUACAGAUUCAGAUUUGCAUAUUACCAAUGUUAUAUAUUUUAAACAAAACUAUUCAUCAUAAGUUUUAAAAAUUAACUACUGGAGUAGUUAAUGAAUCUGAAUGUAAUUAUGUAGCUUUCAUAAUAUUAAAGUAAAAAUACUAAAAGAAGUAUUUCUUAAAGAAGCAAAUGCUCAAUCUCCAAGUAAAUUUUAUUCUAUGCUCUUCCGGUAUAAGAAUAUGUUAAUAUCUUGAAAAAUAUCAUAUUAUUUUGUGAACUCAUAAAGCUAUUUUGAGUUUUUGUAAAAUGAAAACCUUACCAAAAUGUAUUUUAUUGUUGGAAAGCUUGACCGUUACUGCUGUUUAAUUUUUUGAGCUUGUAAACUUUAUUUGUGCAUGUUUUCAACAAAGAAGGAUUUUAUUGUUAUUACAUAAAACAGGUGAUUUCUAGAUUUUAAAAUCACAAAUUGAAAGCAAGGCACAAUAAUAUAUAUUUCAAGAUAUAGGUACUUAGGAGGCAUCCUUUUAGUCAUCUGUUCAAUGUAGCCAUCUAUUUUACACCUACUGUCUACUAUUGUUUGAGGUCCUUGCCAAAGUAUUGCAGGCUAGUUAGGAAACAUAAAACAAUUAGAAAGUAAUCUAUGACAAGUAAGCUAUCUAUAAAUGGCAAUGAAGGGUAGAACAAAUUCAAUGAAAAUAUCUAUUUAAUCCUAGUGUUUACUGGUCUAGAAGAAUAGGCUGAGUAAAUUAGUAUUUCUCUGGCUGUUGUGGUAACACAUUGCAUGCUAUAACAGUUUUAAGUAAUUACAGGUGCAUUGAAAUUUAUCUAUGGCUUUGUCAUCAUAUUCUAAAAUGUCAUGAGUACUUUUUUCUGACCUCAAUUACUAUGAAAUUGGUUUCCAAUAUUUAAUUAACCAAGAAUAUCAAGUCUAUAGGGUAUUAUUAAGGUGAGACUUCUGUAGCCUUUUCAAUAAAGACCAGAAUUUUGGAGUGCCUUGAACCUUAAUCAUUGAUCUUUAAUUCUUAUUAAGUCAACUGCCCACCUUUUAAAGACUGAGGCCCAGGAAGAGUAAGUUUCUCUGAGACAAUGCAUACAGUACAGUGCUUCUUGGGUAUUGGCUCUAAGACCAGAUGCAAAGAAAGGCUAAAAUCCCAUUUCAUUGUUCAUUAGGUGAGAACCCUUUGUUAAGCUGUGUAACCUCUGUGCAUAGUUUCCUCAUCAGCAAAGUCAGAAAAAGUAUGUACCUGAAGGACUGAUUGUAAGGCUGGGAUGAGAGAAUCCAUGUGAUCAGCCCUCACCAACAGGUGCUGCCCAGUUCAUGAGUGCUGCUGCUGUCCUGCCCAAGUACCCAGCUUGCAGAGUGCCAGAGUUAGAGUCCCAGGGGUGUUCUCCACAGCUGCAUGCUUGAUCCAGGCCUAUCAGCAUCUGAGGAAUACAUCCAAAGAGGGUGAUACUGUGGCAUGAUGGUACCAGGAUUCCAAGUUCAUUCCAGAGAAGAUGGCAAGAUGCAGAGAGGAGGAGUCACGCCUGAAGCCACACAGCUGACAUCAGAGCCAAAGCAUGAGCCUCAGUCUCUCUGACCCAGAGCUACCACCCUUGCUGCCUUGGGAAGAAGGAAGCCCCCUCCUAUUCUAUCCUUGAGCUGCCUUGGCAAGGAGGGGCCCCUUGCUGCCGCCAUCCUCACAGGACACCAUCCACAUGAGGGGAUGAAUCUCAGUUGCACUCAGUUGUUGCCCCCCUCGAACCUCCCUUGAGCCUCAGGAGAAACCACCCUGAUUCAGAGGUCCAGAGAAGACCUGACUAGCCCAAGGGUGUCACCGUGUCUGGAUGCGAUGCCUGGAAGUGCUACAGCCACUCGCGCCCAGCCUGAAGAUGAAACCAACCCCAAACACAGCCAAGCAGAGAGAUGGAAAGAACUAGGACCCUAAUUACACCACUGAGCAGCUAUAGCAACCAGUUCCAGAGCCCUCUGACUUCCCGCCAAACCAGACGGGUCUUUUCCUGCCGCCUACACAGAAUGGCCAUGGAGCA